rnacentral:rRNA from 1 species
UACGUAGGGAGCAAGCGUUGUCCGGAAUCAUUGGGCGUAAAGCGCGUGUAGGCGGCCAGACAAGUCUGCUGUGAAAACUCGAGGCUCAACCUCGAGCUGUCGGCGGAAACUGUCUGGCUAGAGUCCGGAAGAGGAGAGUGGAAUUCCUGGUGUAGCGGUGAAAUGCGCAGAUAUCAGGAAGAACACCCGUGGCGAAGGCGGCUCUCUGGGACGGUACUGACGCUGAGACGCGAAAGCGUGGGGAGCGAACGGG